rnacentral:rRNA from 1 species
GACGAACGCUGGCGGCGUGCUUAACACAUGCAAGUCGAACGGAAAGGCCCUGCUUUUGUGGGGUGCUCGGGUGGCGAACGGGUGAGUAACACGUGAGUAACCUGCCCUUGACUUUGGGAUAACUUCAAGAAACUGGGGCUAAUACCGGAUAGGAGCUCCUGCUGCAUGGUGGGGGUUGGAAAGUUUCGGCGGUUGGGGAUGGACUCGCGGCUUAUCAGCUUGUUGGUGGGGUAGUGGCUUACCAAGGCUUUGACGGGUAGCCGGCCUGAGAGGGUGACCGGCCACAUUGGGACUGAGAUACGGCCCAGACUCCUACGGGAGGCAGCAGUGGGGAAUAUUGCACAAUGGGCGGAAGCCUGAUGCAGCAACGCCGCGUGCGGGAUGACGGCCUUCGGGUUGUAAACCGCUUUCGCCUGUGACGAAGCGUGAGUGACGGUAAUGGGUAAAGAAGCACCGGCUAACUACGUG